UGGGGAAUUUUGGACAAUGGGGGAAACCCUGAUCCAGCCAUCCCGCGUGUGCGAUGAAGGCCUUCGGGUUGUAAAGCACUUUUGGCAGGAAAGAAACGUCGCGGGUUAAUACCCCGCGAAACUGACGGUACCUGCAGAAUAAGCACCGGCUAACUACGUGCCAGCAGCCGCGGUAAUACGUAGGGUGCAAGCGUUAAUCGGAAUUACUGGGCGUAAAGCGUGCGCAGGCGGUUCGGAAAGAAAGAUGUGAAAUCCCAGAGCUUAACUUUGGAACUGCAUUUUUAACUACCGGGCUAGAGUGUGUCAGAGGGAGGUGGAAUUCCGCGUGUAGCAGUGAAAUGCGUAGAUAUGCGGAGGAACACCGAUGGCGAAGGCAGCCUCCUGGGAUAACACUGACGCUCAUGCACGAAAGCGUGGGGAGCAAACAGGAUUAGAUACCCUGGUAGUCCACGCCCUAAACGAUGUCAACUAGCUGUUGGGGCCUUCGGGCCUUGGUAGCGCAGCUAACGCGUGAAGUUGACCGCCUGGGGAGU
rnacentral:rRNA from 1 species